GAUGAACGCUGGCGGCGUGCCUAAUACAUGCAAGUCGAGCGAACAGAUGAGGAGCUUGCUCCUCUGACGUUAGCGGCGGACGGGUGAGUAACACGUGGAUAACCUACCUAUAAGACUGGGAUAACUUCGGGAAACCGGAGCUAAUACCGGAUAAUAUAUUGAACCGCAUGGUUCAAUAGUGAAAGACGGUUUUGCUGUCACUUAUAGAUGGAUCCGCGCCGCAUUAGCUAGUUGGUAAGGUAACGGCUUACCAAGGCAACGAUGCGUAGCCGACCUGAGAGGGUGAUCGGCCACACUGGAACUGAGACACGGUCCAGACUCCUAAGGGAGGCAGCAGUAGGGAAUCUUCCGCAAUGGGCGAAAGCCUGACGGAGCAACGCCGCGUGAGUGAUGAAGGUCUUCGGAUCGUAAAACUCUGUUAAUAGGGAAGAACAAAUGUGUAAGUAACUAUGCACGUCUUGACGGUACCUAAUCAGAAAGCCACGGCUAACUACGUG
rnacentral:rRNA from 1 species